rnacentral:rRNA from 1 species
ACGGGGGGGGCAAGCGUUGUUUGGAAUUACUGGGCGUAAAGGGCGCGUAGGCGGCCUGUUAAGUCGAACGUGAAAUCCCCGGGCUCAACCCGGGAACUGCGUCCGAUACUGGCAGGCUUGAAUCCGGGAGAGGGAUGCGGAAUUCCAGGUGUAGCGGUGAAAUGCGUAGAUAUCUGGAGGAACACCGGUGGCGAAGGCGGCAUCCUGGACCAACACUGACGCUGAGGAGCGAAAGCCAGGGGAGCAAACGGGA